UGGGGAAUAUUGGACAAUGGGCGCAAGCCUGAUCCAGCCAUGCCGCGUGAGUGAUGAAGGCCCUAGGGUUGUAAAGCUCUUUUGUGCGGGAAGAUAAUGACGGUAACCGUAGAAGAAGCCCCGGCUAACUUCGUGCCAGCAGCCGCGGUAAUACGAAGGGGGCUAACGUUGCUCGGAUUCACUGGGUUUAAAGGGUGCGUAGGCGGGUAUGUAAGUCAGUGGUGAGAUACCGGAGCUUAACUUCGGAACUGCCAUUGAUACUAUAUAUCUUGAAUAUUGUGGAGGUAAGCGGAAUAUGUCAUGUAGCGGUGAAAUGCUUAGAGAUGACAUAGAACACCGAUUGCGAAGGCAGCUUGCUACGCAAAUAUUGACGCUGAGGCACGAAAGCGUGGGGAUCAAACAGGAUUAGAUACCCUGGUAGUCCACGCCCUAAACGAUGAUUACUCGACAUUAGCGAUACACAGUUAGUGUCUGAGCGAAAGCAUUAAGUAAUCCACCUGGGAAGUACGACCGCAAGGUUG
rnacentral:rRNA from 1 species